GGAUUGUUAAGCAUCGGAGAAUGUUAGAAAGAUAGACAACUGAUGUUCUUAGUUAUAAACAGAUGGGUAAAUCAUGUCCUCUGUGAUGAACAUGAUGGCUCUAGAAUAUACAGAUGAACACAUGAUAGCCACCUCGGUAUUUGUUCAGACAGACGGUGUCGUUGGUUAUUUUUCAGAUCUAAGAAUGAUGGCCUCGAUGAACUACAAAUGGACUUGUUAAUUUUAACCUUGCAAUGGAUUAAUAAACUCAAACAAAGUAUUACCGCAGUAAAAUUUAACUUUGCAUUAAACAUAUGGAGAUGGACAAAUUGUAGCUUGAAUGAGAAAUGAUGGCUUCUGUGUUUUUCAAUUUACCUAGAAUGCCGUACAAAACGCGAAACACAGAACGAUUAAGCAGAGGAUGGCCUCCAAAUACGUCAAUGACAGACUUGCAGAUUCAAAAUAGUAUUGGAAGCGGAUAUGACGUCAUAUAUACAAUGUUAGUCAUUUUUGUGGGAUUUAUGAUACUCGGUGUUGCUAUUUACAAACGAUGCAUUUGUUAUUGUCGGGACUAAAGUGUUAUCAAUGUGAUAUUUUGUUCGAAGGAUUAAACUGGAUAAAUAAAUAUAUCAUCACGG